rnacentral:rRNA from 1 species
UACGUAGGGACCGAGCGUUGUCCGGCUUCAUUGGGCGUAAAGAGCUCGUAGGCGGCCACUCAAGUCGAAUGUGAAACCUCGAGGCUCAACCUCGAGCCUGCAUUCGAUACUGGGCGGCUAGAGUCUGGUAGGGGGAUCUGGAAUUCCUGGUGUAGCGGUGGAAUGCGCAGAUAUCAGGAGGAACACCGGUGGCGAAGGCGGGUCUCUGGGCCACUACUGACGCUGAGAAGCGAAAGCAUGGGGAGCGAACAGG